GCGAUCUUCGCCCUCACAAAUUCUACUUUGUAAGUGACACGAUAGCUCUUUGCGAGCUACAAUGCGAUCUUCGCCCUCACAAUUUCUACUUUUGUGAGACGAUAGCUCUGUGUGAGCUGCAAUGCGAUCUACGCCCUCACAAAUUCUAUUUUAUGAGACGAUAGCUCUGUGCGAGCUGCAAUGCGAUC